UUGUCAAUAAAGUUGUUUUGGACGCACUGCUUCUAUGCUUUCUUUUCUUGACAGGAGUUUAUAAGUCAUUUUUGACCCUCACUUUCGACACAUAGAUGGGUGUUUUUUGAUCUCACAGAAUAGGAUAUGUAGGACCAAGAAAUGCAUUAUAGAGAAAAGUACAACAAUUGUGUUGUGUCAUUUAUGAUAAUCUCUUGACAAGCAGAUCGUAAGAAUAGAAACUUUGGAUAGUUAUUCUCUACUUCCUCCUCCUCUAUGAUUGAGGUAUUGAGAGUGCAAACUGCCUCCACCAUAGAAAUAACAGCAGAUGCAAACCUAAGGAGCAAAUGCAAUACUGUGGAUCAUACUGUGGGAGUUAAAGUCUCAGGUCUCAAGAAGUUAAAGAGACUGCUGACAGAUGAAUCUCUGCGGUUACGGAGUGCUUUACGCUACACAACAUAUGGGAAAUCUGGUGUUUUUGAUGCUGAAAGAUUCAUAGAUGCUAUGCAAGCAUUUGAGAAUUUCAUAACUGCAGCUAAGAGUGGAGGUGGGGAGAGUUUGAAUGGAAGAAUGGCAGAGCUUGGCAUUAUGCAAAGUCAAACAAAUAGCAUAAUUCCUUUUCCUUCUUCAAGUGCUUAUCAAACAGAGCAGCCAAUCCAAACAAGAGCAGCAUUAGCAUUUCUGCUCUCUGAUAAAGGGAUUUUUUUUCCGCGAAUUCCUUUUGGAGGAGUCAUUUUUGUUGCAGAUCGUGGUUCAAAUGCUAAUUCAGAUUCACAUGUAGAUUUAUAUCCAGAUGAUUUUAGAUUUGUAAGGAAGUCAAAGUAUGUUGAUGAAGAAAGGGAAGAGAAUUCGAAAAAGCUGAAGGAGAAUAUCAGCUCAAUAUUAAAGAAGUUGUUGAGUUCAUAUUGUCAACAGCUGAGGAUGAUGAAUAAGCUGACAACGAUGAGGACUUGGAACUCUUGGAAAGAUCUAUAAUCUGACAUAGAUGAUGAUGGAACAAAUUAGGUACCAUUUCCAUCUCAUAAAUUGGCUAUGACGUGUCAGCUGUCCUUUGCAGAAUCCAAACUCAAGUCCCCGUGUCGCAAUAUAUCUAUAUAAGAAUAGCUGCCUCUGAAUUAGGCCUAACCUUAAACUCAACUCUGCUA